ensembl:lincRNA
AUGCAGCAAGAGCAUCUCAGGUUGGACCAGAGAAAGAAAAGAACAUCCUGCAGGAAAUUGCUUGGGUCUCCUGAACCGAGGGGCUCAGGUCUGGUCUUCCUCCUUAUCGCUAUCACCUUGUCCUUGGCCACAUGGAGGUGGCUUCCUACAGUUGAUGAGAAGCUGGCUUUCUCGUGCAAAGAGCCUUGUUCUUCCCAAACCAGGGCAGCUGCUGUUUUUGAGGUGACGACACAGAGGUGUUUUUCCCACACUGUACCCACACGCUCUCUGCUUCUCUCAAGACAGUUCCGGGUCUCAGUUUCCCCCGACAGCGUCCGUCCUUUCACGCAUAUCAUAGCCUGUUUUGUUAUUGUUGUUGUUUUUACUCUGGCUAAGGAGGAUAGGAACACCAUAGGAGGGACGGAUAAACAUGGGCCCUGUGAUGAGAGGCGAGAAAACAUCAGCUCUAUUUGGGAAUUCGGUGGAGGGAGCAAUAAACGAUCUUUGGCACUUCGUUCUUUUCAGGACAGUUUCUCUCAUCUCUGAAAAUGAAUGAUCGCGAUGAGCAAGGGUUGCCAGGUAGACCGUAGAUACUAGACAUGCAGUUCGAUUUGAAUUUUAGACAAACAGCGAAUACGUUACUAAAAGUCUAAUGUUACAGUUCUGUGUAUUUGAGGUAGUUCUUAAGUCACCUCGGUGGCUCAGACGGUAAAGACUCUGCCUGCAAUAUGGAGGACCUGGGUUUGAUCCCUGGAUGGGGAAGAUCCCCUGAAGAAGGAAAUGGCAACCCACUCCAGUAUUCUUGGCUGGAAAAUCCCAUGGAGGGAGGAGCCUGGUGGGCUACAGUCCAUGGGGUCCCAAAGAGUCGGACAUGACUGAGCAACACACGCUGGUGUUCUAGGUGGUGUUUAAAGGAUGGGCCCCCACAGGACUCAGACUUAGGAGAAUCAGUUUCUGCAUCUCCCGGAGACGGACAGACAGCCACGUCUCACGUCCGCCUGCCCACCUGUCUCUGCUCCCACAUGGCCUUUCACACCAGCCUUCUCUCUCUUCUAAAAAAGGAAACAAAGGCAUUGCCCUUUGUUGUAAAAACCUCCAGGGUGGAGACAGGGGGUGAAUAAAAAUAUCUCUGUUUGCACUGCUGUAUUUAAAACAGAUGACCAAUAAACAAAUGAAUUACUUUUGAAAAAACGUUAAAAUAAAAAUAGGGCAAGGGACUUCACUGGUGAUGUAGUUGGUAAGACUUCCUGCUUCCACUUCAGGGGACACAGGUUCCAUUCCUGGUUCGGAAACUAAGAUCCCACAUGCCGCUCUCCAUGGUCAAAAUAAACAUCUGUGUUUGCAUUGAGAAAGCAAAAGCCUUUUGUAACUGAGGUGCAAAUCACUUUGCAAGGUAGGUGGCUUCCCGGGUAUGAUCUUCUGUAAAACUUGGAAGAAAAACACCUAACUGAGUUGACCACUGAUAGAUCAUUAUAGCAAUUUUAAAAAAAGAAGACUUUAUUUUUAAGAGCAGUUUCAGGUUUGCAGGAGAACUGAGCAGACAGUACAGAGUGUUCCCAUAUGCUUCCCCCAACCGCCCCCACAGAGUAAUUUUUGAAGUGAUGGCUGACCUACAGUUCGAAGGAGUUAAAAAAAAUUGAGCAACGCUGCCAAAUUCAGCUCUGCUGAAAAGCAGAUUUCUUUUUGUUUUAUUUUUUUAAAUAAACUUUUAAUUUUAUACUAGAGUUGUAGCCUAUUAACAAUGUUGUGAUAAUUUCAGGUGGACAGCACAGGGACUCAGCCAUACACAUACAUGUAUUCUCCCCCAAAACUCUCCUCCCAUCCAGGCUGCCACAUAACGUUGAGCAGAGUUCUCUGUGCUAUACAGUAGGUCCUUGUGAGUUUUCCAUUUUAAAUAUAGCAAUAUGCCCAUGUCGAUUCUAAACUCCCUGACUCUCCUUCCCACCUCCCCCUCCUUCCCAUAAGCUUGUUCUCUAAGUCUGUGAGUCUUCUGCUUUGUAUCAUGUCUUUUUAAGAUUCCACAUAUAAAAGAUAAGUGAGUGAAGUCGCUCAGUCUUGUCAUACAAUAUUUCUCCUUCUCUGUCUGAUUUAUUUCACUCUUAUGACAAUCUCUAAAUCCAUCCAUAUUGUUGCAUGCGGCAUUAUUUCAUUAUUUUUAAUGGUUGAGUGCACACAUACAGUAAAAUCCCAUUGUAUGUAUGGACUACGUCUUCUUUAUCCAUUCCUCCAUUGGCGGACAUUUAGGUGGCUUCUAUCUCUUAGCUAUUGUGAACAGUGCUGUGAUGAACAUGAAAAAUAGAUUUUAAAUUCCCUUGCAAAGGUGAACUGGCUAGAAAUCUUUGCACAGGGUUUGUGUUCACUCAGUCAUAACAGACUCUGCUCGAAAGCCUUUCCUCUGAUUAACCCUAAACACUGCUGUAACAAAACUCCAUACAGCCCCAUCUAUUUGUUCUGGUCAACAGGUUUCCUCAGUCCAUGAAAAUAAGAAAUAGGGAUCGUAUUGGUGCUAUACCUGCUCAUUCUUGCACUAAGUAAUAUUAAUUGAUGAAUAUUUGAACUGUUACAUAUAUAUGUAAAUAUAUAAAAACAUUUUAAAAUUCAUCCUCAUCCAUCUCAUUAAGAGAAUAAUUUCCAGUAACAUUUUAUUGCUUCAUGUUUCGUGAUCAAUGACAUUUGUAUUUAUCUUGUUACAAAUUAUGGCAAUGAUGAAUUAGUCUCCAAAAAUAUGUCUUCACACUUGGAGCCUGAAGGUUGCAGGAUAGUUUUUAAUUUCUAAAUUGUAAAAUCAAUUUAUAGAGGCAUUUUUGUUUCAGAAAAUGGGAUGGGGUAAUCGGUAAGAGAUGUCCAAAUAGUAGAUGUUCAAGUAAUAAAAGACGUCAAAAAUAUAUGACAUUUGGACAAACUUCUCUGGAAGCGGAAUGAAAAUAGAGUUUAAGGAGGAAAGGGAAAAAAUUAACAUCUCUGACUGUUAGAGAGCUACUUGUUCAUUUCCAAAAAGGAAUGGGGGUGUCAAGUUACUAUGAUACUUGAUUUCUAUUGGAUACCUUUAAAAAGAGUGAUAUGACAGUUUCAUUUAAAAAUAUCCUGUUAAUUAACGAUUGGCAGAACACAUUUUUUGCAAUCACUCAAACUUGUGAUUAAAAGUUACAAAUGUCAAUUUGAAAAUGUGUGUAGAGAUACAUAGUUUUCCAGCAUUUAAAAAAUUAAUGUUAACUUAUUUACUUUAUUUUUGGCUGUGCUGGGUCUUUUUGCUAUAAGCGGGUUUUCUCUCGUUGCAGUGAACAGGGGCUACCCUCCAGCUGCUGGGAGAGGGCUUCUCACUGCGCUGGCUUCUGUUGCUGUGGAGCACAGGCUAUAGGUACAAGGGCUCAGUAGCCGCGGAGUCCUGGCCCAGCUGCCCCUUGACAUGUGGCAUCCUCUGGGACCAGAGAUUGAACCUGUGUCUCCUGCAAUGGCAGGUGGAUUUGUAAACACUGGCCCACCAGGGAAGUCCUCCAGCAAUUUUUAGCGGGUGUUGGUGAAGAAGUUUGAAGAUCACUGUUUUAUAUCAUUGUCUCCCUGCCAUUUCUGCUCAUAAUACUUACAUUUCUAGACACUUUAUAACUCUGAACAAUAAAACAUGUCAGCGUCAUUUUACUAAAAUUUCAGAGGAUUCCUGGUCCCAAGUUCUUGGCACCCCAUCAUGCUGCCCUUCUACUCUGAACUGGGUGGUAGUUGCAGGGUCAUGAUACAAGGGCUUAAAUUGGAGAAACCAAAAAUAAACCAGCCCCUGGAGCUCACCACCAAACUAUUUCAAGAACACGCAGUUACUUUUCAUUGGCCAUGGUUUGACUCAUGGUGUACUCAGUAACAUGCAAUUACAAAGCUACAUUCUAACAGACUUGACUUCUACCCUAACGCUUGCUUGUCACCUUCUGAGUAUAGGGAGCCACCGCAGUCCUGGAUAGUAACUAACCGAAGUCAUCUAACGGACCCUGAUGCGAACCCCUCAUAGGAGAGUGGCUUUCUCGAAUACCAGCCAAGGUUCUGGUGGAUUUUCUUUUUAAGGAAGGCAAAAAAAAAAAGAAUGGAAGCAACCAUAUGCCC